rnacentral:lncRNA from 1 species
GCGUAACAUCAGAGCCAAUAUUGUGUUCUAGAGUCCACAAAUCAACACACAAGCAAAACUACAACCUCCACAUGUUGGAAUUGAUCUUGGCUUAAUAAAAAAGACCUAGUUCUAAGGUAUUAACAGCCACCCCACCCCCAUUGCCCUGGUUAAGAGGCAACAAACUCAACUAAUGGCUUAAUCCCUAAGACGGCCUGUACUAUAAGAAGGGAACCGAGAUUAGGCUUAUCAUCUCGGUAUGGGCACGGACUAGAUGAUCUGUGUCAACCACUAUCCUUCCGUGAUGGUGUUCUCCAUCCGGAGUUCUUCAGCAUCACGCCUGCUUCCACAAGCAGGCACGGGGACGUCAGCAGCCUAGGGGCUUCUACCGAUCUACAAGUAAGUGCCAUUAAGUCCUUAAUUAAUUAAAUUCUUAGGUGUUCAUGUCAUUAGGCUAUUAGAUCCUAAGAAUUAUUUUCCUACACACAUACUGACAUACAUGUAAAGAUGUAUAUGUACUUGGAACUAAGUGACAGUGAUUCAGUGAACUUGACAUGCACAAGUAAAAAGGGUACAAAGUACUGGAUCAAUAUACAAAGAGCGUCAGUGAUUUUCACUGAUAUUACGGCAUGAAAGUGAUGGCAAAGCGAUUCUAGAGUGUCAUGUAUGUAGAUAUUUUUCAGCUUAAGAGCUAUUCACAACCACAACAGCUACUCUACUUUUAUGACGAUUUUCAGUGACCUUGGGAAUCUCAAUAAUG